GAACGCGUGAGAUCGUUACUAUCCGUGAUUGUUGUAAUGAACGUUACCACUUUCGUGUGAUACAUAAUGGUGCGUUGCGUAACCGCAGCCAUCGUCGGCGACGGUGAUAAAACUCCGUGUGCGACCGCCGGCCGGGUACGUAAAUCGCAUUGUAAUCGUCGCGCGUAAAUGUUCGUUAUUCCACGUUUUCAUUGUUUUUUCGGUUAUGUUUUAGUAAAAGUUAAAGUCAUGUUCUCAGUGCCACAAAGUUUCGUAAGUUCUCGUGUGUUUUGGUUUAAUGUGAUGGCGCUGAGGCAUUUUAUCUUCAUUGUGGUGUCCGGCGGCGUAGCUUUCGUGGUGAAUAAAGUCGUCGGCAUCGUCUCGCUCUCUGUUCGUGUUCGUCGUGGUGUGCAAAUCGACUGUACCGUAUUCAAGUUUUCUUUGGUUGGUCUACAGCCUUCUUUAUGAAACCACGUUUUCUGUGUUUCGCGUUCUUCUUGUCGGCCGUUCGGUUAGUGUCGUUCUGCGCAAAUAGUAUUGCCUUCGUUGAAGUUACCGUGUUCUAGGGUGAUCACUUACCAACAGCCAUUGUGAAUAUGGUUGUUUUGUUCAUUGUCCGGAACUGUAGACCUUCCAUAUUCGUUAGUGACUGUGUUUUGCUGGUUGCACAUACUAGUAGCUGUGACUUAUUUUUCAUUCGUACCUGUGGUGUACCGCCGUAGAAACUUGUAGUCACGGUGCUGAUGCUGUCGCGUUGGGAUAAAAUCCGCCAUCACACACAGUCACAUAACUACGAUUUUUCAUCAUCUAACUAUAUCAAAAUUCUUUCAGGAGCCAGUUCAAUAAUGUCCGAGCCCUGGUUGUACUAUUUGUUUUUUCUUAAUGUUUACACUUAACAAGCAUGUCUUUACUAGGCACUUCAGAAUCAAAUACAAAAUUCAAAUAAAGUUUGCCUAUUUGUAAUUUGUACUCUACUCCUCCCAAGGGUAAAAGACAUCGAUGAAGACCUGGAUGGUCGUUUCAUAAAAAUUGUAAUGAAGACUUCAUGAAUUAAAUUUAUAUCUGACUCUGGUGUAAUUCUGGCUGCGCAAAAAAAAUAUGCUGUCAUAAAAAUUUGAGCUCUACAUAUGUAUAUUUUGUGCCAUCAUCAAAUAUAGUUAUGAGUAACUGACAAUAAUAAGUGUUCUUCUCAUUCUUAUCUACGCGAUACAAUAUUA